rnacentral:rRNA from 1 species
UACGGAGGGUGCAAGCGUUAUCCGGAUUCACUGGGCUUAAAGGGUGCGUAGGCGGGUUGGUAAGUCAGUGGUGAAAUCUCCGAGCUUAACUUGGAAACUGCCAUUGAUACUAUCAGUCUUGAAUACUGUGGAGGUCAGCGGAAUAUGUCAUGUAGCGGUGAAAUGCUUAGAUAUGACAUAGAACACCGAUUGCGAAGGCAGCUGGCUACGCAAAUAUUGACACUGAGGCACGAAAGCGUGGGGAUCAAACAGG